GACGAACGCUGGCGGUGUGCUUAACACAUGCAAGUCGAACGGAAAGGCCCUGCUUUUGUGGGGUGCUCGAGUGGCGAACGGGUGAGUAACACGUGAGUAACCUGCCCUUGACUUUGGGAUAACUUCAGGAAACUGGGGCUAAUACCGGAUAGGAGCUCCUGCUGCAUGGUGGGGGUUGGAAAGUUUCGGCGGUUGGGGAUGGACUCGCGGCUUAUCAGCUUGUUGGUGGGGUAGUGGCUUACCAAGGCUUUGACGGGUAGCCGGCCUGAGAGGGUGACCGGCCACAUUGGGACUGAGAUACGGCCCAGACUCCUACGGGAGGCAGUAGUGGGGAAUAUUGCACAAUGGGCGGAAGCCUGAUGCAGCAACGCCGCGUGCGGGAUGACGGCCUUCGGGUUGUAAACCGCUUUCGCCUGUGACGAAGCGUGAGUGACGGUAAUGGGUAAAGAAGCACCGGCUAACUACGUG
rnacentral:rRNA from 1 species